UGUCCAAACUGCACUUGCGUGGGAACGAGA
rnacentral:piRNA from 1 species